GGACGAACUUCGUCCACGCCCCCCCCCAAGGAUAUAGCCCGCCCACCCGUUUUUUGGCCAUUUUUCAGCUGGGGGGUCUUGGCGCCCCGACCUUCGGGGGCUGAAUUUUGGGCGCGGGUGUGCCCGUGGCCUAUUUUUGGCACACGGAGGCCGCCCGCAAAGUCUGGGGCCAUUCCGAGUCCGGCGGACGAACUUCGCCCACGCCCCCCGCCAAGGCUAUAGUACACCCGUUUCUCGGCCAAUUUUCCGCUGGGGGGUGUUGGCGCCCCGACCUUCGGGCGCUCAUUUUUGGGCGCGGCUGUGCUCGUGGCCUAUUUUUGGCACACGGAGGCCGCCCGCAAAGUCUGGGGCCAUUCCGAGUCCGGCGGACGAACUUCGCCCACGCCCCCCGCCAAGGCUAUAGGCCACCCGUAUUUCGGCCAAUUUUCCGCUGGGGGGUGUUGGCGCCCCGACCUUAGGGCGCUCAUUUUUGGGCGCGGCUGUGCCCGCUGCCUAUUUUUGACACACGGAGGCCGCCCAUAAAGUCUGGGGCCAUUCCGAGUCCGGCGGACGAACUUCGCCCACGCCCCCCGCCAAGGCUAUAGUACACCCGUUUCUCGGCCAAUUUUCCGCUGGGGGGUGUUGGCGCCCCGACCUUCGGGCGCUCAUUUUUGGGCGCGGCUGUGCUCGUGGCCUAUUUUUGGCACACGGAGGCCGCCCGCAAAGUCUGGGGCCAUUCCGAGUCCGGCGGACGAACUUUGCCCACGCCCCCCUCCAAGGCUAUAGCCCACCCGUUUUUUGGCCAUUUUUCCGCUGGGGGGUGUUGGCGCCCCGACCUUAGGGCGCUCGUUUUUGGGCGCGGUUGUGCCCGUGGCCUAUUUUUGGCACACGGAGGCCGCCCGCAAAGUCUGGGGCCAUUCCGAGUCCGGCGGACGAACUUCGCCCACGCCCCCCACCAAGGCUAUAGCCCACACGUUUUUUGGCCAAUUUUCCGCUGGGGGGUGUUGGAACCCGACCUUCGGGAGCUCAUUUUUGGGCGCGGCUAAGCCCGUGGCCUAUUUUUGGCACACGGAGGCCGCCCGUAAAGUCUGGGGCCAUUCCGAGUCCGGCGGACGAACUUCGCCCACGCCCCCCACCAAGGCUAUAGGCCACCCGUUUUUCGGCCAAUUUUCCGCUGGGGGGUGUUGGCGCCCCGACCUUCGGGCGCUCGUUUUUGGGCGCGGCUGUGCCCGUGGACUAUUUUUGGCGCACGGAGGCCGCCCGCGUAGUCUGGGGCCAUUCCGAGUCCGGCGGACGAACUUCGCCCUCGCCCCCCGCCAAGGCUAUAGCCCACCCGUUUUUUGGCCAUUUUUCCGCUGGGGGGUGUUGGCGCCCCGACCUUCGGGCGCGGCUGUGCCCGUGGCCUAUUUUUGGCACACGGAGGCCGCCCGCAAACUCUGGGGCCAUUCCGAGUCCGGCGGACGAACUUCGCCCACGCCCCCCGCCAAGGCUAUAGCACACCCGUUUUUUGGCCAUUUUUCCGCUGGGGGGUGUUGGCGGCCCGACCUUCGGGCGCUCAUUUUUGGGCGCGGCUGUGCCCGUGGCUUAUUUUUGGCACACGGAGGCCGCCCGCAAAGUCUGGGGCCAUUCCGAGUCCGGCGGACGAACUUCGCCCACGCCCCCCACCAAGGCUAUAGCCCACACGUUUUUUGGCCAAUUUUCCGCUGGGGGGUGUUGGAACCCGACCUUCGGGAGCACAGUUUAGGGCUCGGCUGUGCCCGUGUCCUAUUUUUGGCACACGGAGGCCGCCCGCAAAGUCUGGGGCCUUUCCGAGUCCGGCGGACGAACUUCGCCCACGCCCCCUGCAAAGGCUAUAGCCCACCCGUUUUUUGGCCAAUUUUCCGCUGGGGGGUGUUGGAACCCGACCUUCGGGAGCUCAUUUUUGGGCGCGGCUGUGCCAAUGGCCUAUUUUUGGCACACAAAGGCCGCCCGCAAAGUCUGGGGCCAUUCCGAGUCCGGCGGACGAACUUCGUCCACGCCCCCCGCCAAGGCUAUAGCCCACCCGUUUUUUGGCCAUUUUUCCGCUGGGGGGUGUUGGCGGCCCGACCUUCGGGCGCUCAUUUUUGGGCGCGGCUGUGCCCGUGGCCUAUUUUUGGCACACGGAGGCCGCCCGCAAAGUCUGGGGCCAUUCCGAGUCCGGCGGACGAACUUUGCCCACGCCCCCCUCCAAGGCUAUAGCCCACCCGUUUUUUGGCCAUUUUUCCGCUGGGGGGUGUUGGCGCCCCGACCUUAGGGCGCUCGUUUUUGGGCGCGGCUGUGCCCGUGGCCUAUUUUUGGCACACGGAGGCCGCCCGCAAAGUCUGGGGCCAUUCCGAGUCCGGCGGACGAACUUCGCCCACGCCCCCCACCAAGGCUAUAGCCCACACGUUUUUUGGCCAAUUUUCCGCUGGGGGGUGUUGGAACCCGACCUUCGGGAGCUCAUUUUUGGGCGCGGCUAAGCCCGUGGCCUAUUUUUGGCACACGGAGGCCGCCCGUAAAGUCUGGGGCCAUUCCGAGUCCGGCGGACGAACUUCGCCCACGCCCCCCACCAAGGCUAUAGGCCACCCGUUUUUCGGCCAAUUUUCCGCUGGGGGGUGUUGGCGCCCCGACCUUCGGGCGCUCGUUUUUGGGCGCGGCUGUGCCCGUGGACUAUUUUUGGCGCACGGAGGCCGCCCGCGUAGUCUGGGGCCAUUCCGAGUCCGGCGGACGAACUUCGCCCUCGCCCCCCGCCAAGGCUAUAGCCCACCCGUUUUUUGGCCAUUUUUCCGCUGGGGGGUGUUGGCGCCCCGACCUUCGGGCGCGGCUGUGCCCGUGGCCUAUUUUUGGCACACGGAGGCCGCCCGCAAACUCUGGGGCCAUUCCGAGUCCGGCGGACGAACUUCGCCCACGC
rnacentral:lncRNA from 1 species